UACGGAGGGUGCAAGCGUUAUCCGGAUUCACUGGGUUUAAAGGGUGCGUAGGAGGGCAGGUAAGUCAGUGGUGAAAUCUCCAAGCUUAACUUGGAACUGCCGUUGAUACUAUCUGUCUUGAAUACCGUGGAGGUGAGCGGAAUAUGUCAUGUAGCGGUGAAAUGCUUAGAUAUGACAUAGAACACCAAGUUGCGAAGGCAGCUCGCUACACGAAUAUUGACUCUGAGGCACGAAAGCGUGGGGAUCAAACAGGG
rnacentral:rRNA from 1 species